AAAUAUUUUAAUUAACUAAACGGAGUACAGGAUAGUGUUACAUAUACCAUAGACAGGAUUGUAGUACUAACAAAAAUAAGGUUCAACUGAAGUUUAAAAAAGAAGGUCUCUAACAAAACAAGGUUCAAUUGAGGCCUAAAACAGAAAAGCCCAAAACACUUUUAAUAAAUGAUUGCUUCCUGCACCAUAUCACUGCACCCGAUUCCAGCGGAAAAGACGAAACUAUCCUUAAAAAAAAUUUCCGAAAUAUGUGUUCCAGAUUUUUUUUUCCGGAACGAAAUUUUAUAUUACGGAUAUUUUUAUCCGGAAUGAGUUUUUCAUUUUUGUUUCCGGAUUUUUAUUUCCGAAACACAAUAAUCUCUUUUCUGGAUUUUUUUUUCCAGAAUGUAUUAUUUAUCAAUUCCGGAUUUUUUUGUCCGGAAAAGAAUUUUAAAUUUUUUUCCAGAUUUUUAUUUCCGAAACUCAAUAAUCACUUCCAGAUAUAUUUUUCCGGAAUAUAUUAUUUUCAAUUCCGGAUUUUUAUUUCCGGAAUAAAGGGCAUUUUUGGAAUUUUUAAAAUUGUGUUGGGUGCAGGGAGCAUUUGCCAAUGAUAAAAGCUUUCAUCCGCUUAGGUGAGGCUGUCUUGUGUUUGCAAGAUCCAUUUUACAAUGGCUGCUUCUUCCUGCACCUCCAUACCUUCUUCUCUCACCUCCAUAGAUUCUCGUAUUUCCAAAAAAGGCCCCUCUG
rnacentral:lncRNA from 1 species